GAGUGUCCCUGGUUGUUUUGAAGCUAGCUCAAACAUAAGUGACAUUGAAUAUUUUAAUUCAGAUUUCGAUUACAAAGAAUAAAACUUUUUCUUAUAAAAUAUUUCUUUAUUUGUAAGUUCGUUUACUAGGUUCUGUUAGUUACGAAAUUAUAUUUCAUAUUUAGCAGUGACUUUUCGGCGAAGUAAAAUAUCGUGAGAUGAGAGAACCGGACAUAUCCCAAUAAGGCCUACCUACUUAUGCACUAUUUU